GGGCGUGCCCGCGGCGGCUCCUCCCCCUGGGCUCCCCCCCGGCCUGGGAGCCCGAGCGCGGGUGGGAGCGAGCGAGCGAGCGAGUUCUCCUUCCUCCUCCCUCUCUCCCGUCGUCCGCUCUGGGCUGGGGCGGCGGCGCCCGAGCGGUUCCCUCGCGAGCCGGUGCGGACCCCGCGGCUGGGGGAGGAGGAGGAGCGGCGGGGCCGGGCGGAGACGCUUGCGGGCUCCGCGCAGGCGGCCCGGCCAAUCAGCGGCCGGAGGCGACGGUUGCGCGUUUCCCCCGCCCCCGGGGCCGCCUCCCGGGGAGGCCACGCCCAGCUGCUCCGCCGCCGCCUCCCUCUCCCGGCGGCUCCCGCGCGGUCCUAACCUCGGGGCCUGCGGCUUAGGAGAUCCCUGUGAUGAUGUUAUCUCCAAAGCAGAGAUCAGCGUCGGGGGAUUGGGUGAACGUAGAACUGAGGCAACCACUCAGAAGAGCCAGCCCACUGCCUGCCCCAGAAGCCUUCAUGAAACAUUCAUGCAGAGUGUUCUUCUUUAAAUUAACUGACUAUUUAUCUUAAUUCUUCAUCUUAUUGAUGUGUAACUGUCCUAUGGCCAUUCUUAGAGAUAUAGAUGUUACCAUGGGUCAAAGAACAGGAAGCAAUUUAGGGAGAAAAGCAUAAAUGGAGGGAGAAGGCAGUUAAACAGUAUAUUUUUGUGGACUUGUUGUGAAGUUUAUGAAGAAUUAUAACCAGUUGUUGGAUGAGGUGCGAUCAGAAAACAGCUAAGCUUCAAACAUGGGAGACUAGAAGCCUUGGGGGUCAUUUUUGAGUGCUUCCGAGGCUGUAUCUCAAUUUCUGACCUGUCACUAAUUUCUAUAUUUCCAAUUUAACUCUUCCUCUCCAAUCCCACUGCCAACAUCAGACUCAAAGACUCCAACCUUGGAUUAUACAUUCUGUCUGUCUAACCCUAGUGCCAUGGACUGAAUAUUUGUCUACCCACCCACCCCCAAUUCUUAUGUUGAAAUCCUAAUCCCCAAUAGGAUGGUAUUAGUACAUGAUUAGGUCAAAAAUACAGAACCAAAGAGGUAAAUGCACCCCAGUGUUUAUAGCAGCAUUAUCAACAAUAGCCAAACUACACAAAGAGCCCAAGUGUCCAACAAAAGAUGAAUGGAUAAAGAAGAUGUGUGUGUGUGUGUGCGCGCGUGCACGCACGUGUAUACAAUGGAAUACCACUCAGCCUUCAGAAAGAAUGAAAUCUUGCCAUUUGCAAUGGUGUUGAUAGAACUAGAGUAUAUCAUGCUAAGCGAAGUAAAUCAGAGAAAGACAAAUAACAUAUGAUUUCAUGCAUAUGGGGAAUUUAGGAAAUGAAACAGAUGAACAUAGGGGAAGCGGGGAAAAAAGAGAGGGAAGCAAACCACAAGAGACUCUUAACGAUAGAGAAGAAACUGGGGGUUGAUGAGAGAGGUGGGUGGGGGAUGGGCUAGAAGGGUGAUGGGAUUAAGGAUUAGGGCACUUACUAAAAUGAGUACUGAGUGUCAUAUGUAAGUGAUGAAUCACUAAAUUCUAUUGCUGAAACCAAUAUCACACUAUAUGUUAGUUAACUAGAAUCUAAAUAAAAAUUUGGAAGAAAAGAAAGGGAGGCA
rnacentral:lncRNA from 12 species